GAAACUUCAUGGAAGCUUCAAGAGUGAUACAAGUUACCAGUUCGGGCGCCAUUGAUUAGGAAAAAUGGUGUCCAAUGUGCUAGCCCAACGGUUAGAAGUCCUCCUGGGAUGGAAAGCCUCCUUUUUUAUUCAGAUGCUGAUAUUCUGCUAUCAGUCUCUUGAGGUUUCAGGUUACUUUAACCCUUUGUUUGUAUCUUUGACUUUGGCAGGG
rnacentral:misc_RNA from 1 species